UAUACGACCGUACCGCAAACCGACACAGGUGCGCGAGAUGAGUAUUCUAAGGCGCUUGAGAGAACUCAGGAGAAGGAACUCGGCAAAUUGACACCGUAACUUCGGAAGAAGGUGUGCCCUAUUAGUGUGUAGUGAACAACGAAGCAUGAAUGGGUUGCAAAAAAUCGGUGGCUGCGACUGUUUAUUAAAAACACAGCACUCUGCAAACACGAAAGUGGACGUAUAGGGUGUGACGCCUGCCCGGUGCUGGAAGAUUAAAUGAUGGGGUGCAAGCUCUUGAUUGAAGUCCCAGUAAACGGCGGCCGUAACUAUAACGGUCCUAAGGUAGCGAAAUUCCUUGUCGGGUAAGUUCCGACCUGCACGAAUGGCGUAACGAUGGCCACACUGUCUCCUCCUGAGACUCAGCGAAGUUGAAAUGUUUGUGAUGAUGCAAUCUCCCCGCGGAAAGACGGAAAGACCCCAUGAACCUUACUGUAGCUUUGUAUUGGACUUUGAACAGAUCUGUGUAGGAUAGGUGGGAGGCUUUGAAGCAGGGUCGCUAGAUCUUGUGGAGCCAACGUUGAAAUACCACCCUGGUGUGUUUGAGGUUCUAACCUAGGUCCAUUAUCUGGAUCGGGGACAGUGCAUGGUAGGCAGUUUGACUGGGGCGGUCUCCUCCCAAAGCGUAACGGAGGAGUUCGAAGGUACGCUAGUUACGGUCGGACAUCGUGACGAUAGUGCAAUGGCAUAAGCGUGCUUAACUGCGAGACUGACAAGUCGAGCAGAUGCGAAAGCAGGACAUAGUGAUCCGGUGGUUCUGUAUGGAAGGGCCAUCGCUCAACGGAUAAAAGGUACUCUGGGGAUAACAGGCUGAUACCGCCCAAGAGUUCAUAUCGACGGCGGUGUUUGGCACCUCGAUGUCGGCUCAUCUCAUCCUGGGGCUGUAGCCGGUCCCAAGGGUAUGGCUGUUCGCCAUUUAAAGAGGUACGUGAGCUGGGUUUAAAACGUCGUGAGACAGUUUGGUCCCUAUCUUCCGUGGGCGCUGCAGAUUUGAGGAAGCCUGCUCCUAGUACGAGAGGACCGGAGUGGACACACCUCUGGUGUAUCGGUUGUCACGCCAGUGGCAUUGCCGAGUAGCUAAGUGUGGAAGAGAUAACCGCUGAAAGCAUCUAAGCGGGAAACUCGUUUCAAGAUGAGAUCUGCCGGGGCCUUGAGCCCCCUAAAGAGUCGUUCGAGACCAGGACGUUGAUAGGUCAGGUGUGGAAGC
rnacentral:rRNA from 1 species